rnacentral:rRNA from 1 species
GACAGAGGGUGCAAACGUUGCUCGGAAUCACUGGGCGUAAAGGGCGCGUAGGCGGACAAGUAAGUCGGGCGUGAAAUCCCUAGGCUCAACCUAGGAACUGCACUCGAAACUGCAUGUCUUGAGUACCGGAGAGGAAAGCGGAAUACCUGGUGUAGAGGUGAAAUUCGUAGAUAUCAGCUAGAACACCAGUGGCGAAGGCGGCCAACUGGUCCGGUACUGACGCUGAGGUGCGAAAGCGUGGGGAGCAAACAGG